rnacentral:lncRNA from 1 species
AGCGAAUCACAACGGUCCGGUUUUCUUAGACCGUUUUACUGAAGCUCUCCAUUAUUAUUCUACCCUUUUCGACUCGUUGGAAGGUUCAGGGGUGGCGCCAGCGAGUCAAGACCUGGCUAUGUCCGAGUUAUACUUAGGAAGACAGAUUUGUAACGUGGUUGCUUGUGAAGGGAUGGACCGAGUUGAACGACACGAGCCGCUGACUCAGUGGAGAACUCGGAUGGAAACGGCCGGGUUUAGCACUGUUCAUUUGGGUUCCAAUGCUUAUAAACAAGCUAGUAUGUUGUUGGCC